GGAUAACCUGCCCUAUUGUCUGGAAUAACCUCGGGAAACUGAGAACAAGGCCGGAUAGCCCACAAUGCCUGGAACGGUUUGUGGGUGAAGAUAGGAUGGGUCUGCGGCGUAUCAGGUCGUAGGGGGUGUAAUGGACCUCCUAGCCAUCGACGCGUACGGGUGUUGGGAGACAUAGCCCGGAGAUGGAUUCUGAGACACGAAUCCAGACCCUACGGGGUGCAGCAGGCGCGAAAACUUCACACUGCAGGAAACUGUGAUGAGGGAACUCCAAGUGCUAUCACUAUGUGGUAGCUUUUCUUGACUAUUAAUCGGUCACGGAAUAAGGGCUGGGAAAGACCGGUGCCAGCCGCCGCGGUAAUACCGGCAGCUCAAGUGGUCGUCGCUUUUAUUGGGCCUAAAACGUCCGUAGCCUGUUUGGUAAAUCUGUGGGUAAAUCAACCAGCUUAACUGGUUGAAUUCUGCAGAGACUGCCAGACUAGGGACCGGGAGAGGUGUGGGGUACUCUAGUGGUAGGGGUAAAAUCCUGUCAUCCUUAGAGGACCACCAGUUGCGAAGGCGCCACACUGGAACGGAUCCGACGGUCAGGGACGAAGCCUAGGGGCACGAACCGGAUUAGAUACCCGGGUAGUCCUAGGUGUAAACGCUGUGAACUUGGUGUCGGGGAUCCGUAAUGGGUCCUCGGUGCCGGAGUGAAGAUGUUAAGUUCACUGCCUGGGGAGUACGGUCGCAAGGCUGAAACUU
rnacentral:rRNA from 1 species